rnacentral:lncRNA from 1 species
UCUUUGUGAAUCACUAUUACAUUUCAUUCCUAUCAGAAAACCAUCUUCUCCGUAAGGAAACAAUAUAGCAUACUGCAUAGUCAUGAAAGAAGGAUGUAAAUCACUAAUCCGUUUUAAUCCUUCUAUUUUAUGUUCAACAAUAAUAUCUCUUUGACGAUCAGCACUACCAAAAUCACCAACUAUUAAUCCAGCAAUCUCAGAACAUGAAGGGGGGUUGUACUGAGUUUUGUCAGCACGUGUGUCGAUCAACUUUGAUCGUAUAGGUAGAAAAUCAUUUUCUUUGAAGCGAUCCCUUGCCAUCCUAAAUGAUUUCAC